GAUGAACGCCGGCGGUGUGCCUAAUACAUGCAAGUCGAACGCGUUGGCCCAACUGAUUGAACGUGCUUGCACGGACUUGACGUUGGUUUACCAGCGAGUGGCGGACGGGUGAGUAACACGUAGGUAACCUGCCCCAAAGCGGGGGAUAACAUUUGGAAACAGAUGCUAAUACCGCAUAACAAUUUGAAUCGCAUGAUUCAAAUUUAAAAGAUGGCUUCGGCUAUCACUUUGGGAUGGACCUGCGGCGCAUUAGCUUGUUGGUAGGGUAACGGCCUACCAAGGCUGUGAUGCGUAGCCGAGUUGAGAGACUGAUCGGCCACAAUGGAACUGAGACACGGUCCAUACUCCUACGGGAGGCAGCAGUAGGGAAUCUUCCACAAUGGGCGCAAGCCUGAUGGAGCAACACCGCGUGAGUGAAGAAGGUUUUCGGAUUGUAAACUUCUGUUAUAAAGGAAGAACGGCGGCUACAGGAAAUGGUAGCCGAGUGACGGUACUUUAUUAGAAGCC
rnacentral:rRNA from 1 species